GACCAAAAAGCUUUGAGGAUUUGAACUAUACCAGUGGUAUCGGUGAUAUCGACGAAACAAUGGCUGAUUUGUUUUUCCGAAAAUUAGAUAACAUCGUGAAUGCAGUUGUGGCUGUAGUUGUACCACAGCCACCACCACCACCAGAUCCACCGAAUCCAAUGAUCUGAGGAUAUCGUCAUUUGAUCACUGCCUAACAAUGCAAUUUAGAAAAAAAACCUCUUGUUCGGUAUACAUAUUAAGUAAAUGACAAAUAUCAAUUACAGAACUCCUUAAAUGAACAUCAGCAUGACCAAAUAAAACUAAAGUAUU